UUUUCUCCUUUUUGAAGGAGAUUUUAGAUUGAGAUUGGAAUAACGUUAGAACAAUAAUUUGAUUGUUUGCGGCCUUUUGGUGGCUCUUGCUGAUUUUUGUGCUUUAUUUGCUUUCAAUAAAAAUUAUUACUGCCAUUUAGGUGAAACUUAUAGAAACUGUUUUCUUUGUUCGUACAAAUAUUGUUGUACUGUGGCGCUUUACUUGGACAGCUAAUUGGAAACGGAACAAGAGGCAAAGCAACUGCGAUCUUGGUCGAUGCUAUUCUGGAGUCGUCAGUCACCUUUGCCCACUUAACUCUCCCUGAUGUAGUAGAUCCUGGCGGCUGGCCCACUGUUUCUAAAUUCUAGACAGAAUGGUCUGAUGAUUCGAUGAUCUUCAAAUUGGACCCAGCUUUUAGGAUCAAUAAGAUCACCAAGGAAGGUUUGCAUGACGACUGUCCGCGCGAAAUUACGCCAUGGCCUUCCCAGGUCAGCAGACAGGUGGACUUGAUCCUUAGGAGCUCUACCAGCGGUACUCUACAGUGCUCCAGUUGUUCCGGAGCCUCACUUCCGCGGUACUAUUUUGUGUAUGUAUAUUCGGGCACGGCAGUACCCGGCCUUUUCUAUGUAUAAGUGUACUAUGUCUAGAGGCUCGUAGACAGAUAUGCCCAGUCAGUCAAGUACAGUUAGAUAUAUGGUGUGUUGGCAUUUUAAUGUUGUUGUAUAAAGUGAUAACGAAGUUUACUAGUCUAUGUUCAUAAUGAUGCUGCUAAUGUUAAUGUUAAAAAAAAAUAUAU